GCCAGCGUAGCUCAGAGGUAGAGCAACUGAUUCGUAAUCAGUUGGUCGCCCGUUCGAGUCGGGCCGCUGGCUCCA
rnacentral:tRNA from 1 species